rnacentral:rRNA from 1 species
CCUACGGUAGGCAGCAGUGAGGAAUAUUGGUCAAUGGACGAGAGUCUGAACCAGCCAAGUAGCGUGAAGGAUGAAUGCUCUAUGGGUUGUAAACUUCUUUUAUAUGGGAAUAAAAUGUUCCACGUGUGGGAUUUUGUAUGUACCAUAUGAAUAAGGAUCGGCUAACUCCGUGCCAGCAGCCGCGGUAAUACGGAGGAUCCGAGCGUUAUCCGGAUUUAUUGGGUUUAAAGGGAGCGUAGGUGGAUAAUUAAGUCAGUUGUGAAAGUUUGUGGCUCAACCGUAAAAUUGCAGUUGAAACUGGCAGUCUUGAGUACAGUAGAGGUAGGCGGAAUUCGUGGUGUAGCGGUGAAAUGCUUAGAUAUCACGAAGAACUCCGAUUGCGAAGGCAGUUCACUGGACUGUAACUGACACUGAGGCUCGAAAGUGUGGGUAUCAAACAGGAUUAGAUACCCGAGUAGUC